CUAUUAGAGUUUAGCUGGAUGCUUAAUUAUGAGUUAAAGAGGAUUAGAUCAUGUUAAUGAGUUGGCAAUCUAAUCUCCUCCUUAUCUCCUUGAUAUUUUCUUUUGAAGUGAAAAAUUGAUGGAAAGAAGAGAUGGCGCCAUCCACUCUUUUUGGAAGGUCCAAGGGGCGCCAACCUCUUAGAAUGGAAUGAGAAAGAGAGAGGGGCCUACCCCCUCCUCUUGGUUUGGCAUGGAAGGA
rnacentral:lncRNA from 1 species